rnacentral:rRNA from 1 species
GAUGAACGCUGGCGGCGUGCUUAACACAUGCAAGUCGAACGGUGAACCCGGAGUUUGCUCUGUGGGUAGAGUGGCGCACGGGUGUGACACACGUGAGCACCCUGCUUCUGACUGUGGGAUGAGCGCUGGACUCGGCGUCUUAUUCUGGAUGUGUGCCGUGCGCGCGUGGUCUGCGUUUGGGAUGAUUUUUCGGUUGGGGAUGGGCUCGCGGCCUAUCAGCUUGUUGGUGAGGUAAUGGCUCACCAAGGCGACGACGGGUAGCCGGCCUGAGAGGGUGACCGGCCACACUGGGACUGAGACACGGCCCAGACUCCUACGGGAGGCAGCAGUGGGGAAUAUUGCACAAUGGGCGCAAGCCUGAUGCAGCAACGCCGCGUGAGGGAUGACGGCCUUCGGGUUGUAAACCUCUUUUAGCAGGGAAGAAGCGAGAGUGACGGUACCUGCAGAAAAAGCGCCGGCUAACUACGUG